UACGUAGGGUGCAAGCGUUGUCCGGAAUUAUUGGGCGUAAAGAGCUCGUAGGCGGUCUGUCGCGUCGGCUGUGAAAACUCGGGGCUCAACUCCGAGCUUGCAGUCGAUACGGGCAGGCUAGAGUUCGGCAGGGGAGACUGGAAUUCCUGGUGUAGCGGUGAAAUGCGCAGAUAUCAGGAGGAACACCGGUGGCGAAGGCGGGUCUCUGGGACGAUACUGACGCUGAGACGCGAAAGCGUGGGGAGCAAACAGG
rnacentral:rRNA from 1 species